GUUUUGUUUCUUUUUUUUUGCCAGCAGUGGGGCCUUACAUUCAUCUAUUGAAGAGGUUGAAUCCUUGCCAUGUUAUAGGGCACCCCCAGGUGCUGUUCAGCUGACCCAGCAACCCUGUAUUUCCUGGGACCAGCUCUUUAGAUAGAGAAGCUUCAGUAAUGCCAGGUCCGAUUGCUUGGGAAGACUUCCACACGAGUCAGGAAAGCGACACGCUGCAAACUGGUCCACAGCAAAGCAGACGACUGUUGUGGGGGCACAGGCAGCCCCUCCAGAAGCCCGC
rnacentral:lncRNA from 1 species